rnacentral:tRNA from 1 species
GGGGGCGGAGGGGUCCCGGUGGGCUCCCCGGUCUUCAAAACCGGUGGCCGUCGUAGUCCGGCGGCGGUGGGUUCGACUCCCAUGCGCCCUC